CGCCUGUUUAUCAAAAACAUCGCCUCUUGCUAACAAAGGAAGUACUAGAGGUCCCGCCUGCCCUGUGACCACAAAGUUUAACGGCCGCGGUAUCCUGACCGUGCGAAGGUAGCGUAAUCAUUUGUCUUUUAAAUAGAGACCUGUAUGAAUGGCAUAACGAGGGUUUAACUGUCUCCCUCCCCCAGUCAAUGAAAUUGAUCUGCCCGUGCAGAAGCGGGCAUAAACACAUAAGACGAGAAGACCCUAUGGAGCUUUAGACAAAAGAUCAAACAUGUAAAGAAACCAAACCAACCAAAAGGAACACAAAGGCCACAAAACCCAACGUAAAAUGAUCAAAAUGUCUUCGGUUGGGGCGACCAUGGGGGAAAGAAAAGCCCCCACGAGGAACUAAGGGCAAUCCAUUAAGCCAAGAGAUACACCUCUAAGCAACAGAAAAUCUGACCAAAAAUGACCCAGGACACUAAUCCUGAUCAACGAACCAAGUUACCCUAGGGAUAACAGCGCAAUCCUUUCCCAGAGUCCAUAUCGACGAAAGGGUUUACGACCUCGAUGUUGGAUCAGGACAUCCUAAUGGUGCAGCCGCUAUUAAGGGUUCGUUUGUUCAACGAUUAACAGUCCUACGUGAUCUGAGUUCAGACCGG
rnacentral:rRNA from 1 species